CCUCAGUCUCCGUGCACGUCUCUGCUGCCAGCCUCGGAAUCUUGCAGCAAUGGACCACAGGCAAGAGAAACUUGGAUAGAGAUAGAGGAGUGACAAUUGCUUAGGGCAGGACACUAAGGCGGAGCAACUCAGAGGGCACCUUCACUAUGAAAUAAAUUGUAUCUGGAC